rnacentral:tRNA from 1 species
GCCCAGGUGGCGGAAUUGGUAGACGCGCGAGACUCAAAAUCUCGUGUCCUUUUCGGACAUGUGGGUUCGAGUCCCACCCUGGGCA